rnacentral:rRNA from 1 species
AUGAGUUCGUCGUAUGAUUCUUCUGAAGAAGAAUUUGAUAUGAAAGAGCAGGAGGAUCUUGCAAUGAUCAUAGCUAUGCAUAUCAAUAAAAAACCGAAGCACGGUGGUUCGGUUAUGGGUCGGGAAUUUUUUUGGAGAGAUAGGAUUGAUGCCCAUAACAGAUUGAUGAAGAACUAUUUUGUGGAAAAUCCCACAUACCUGGAGUCGUAUUUUUGUCGCCGGUUUAGGAUGAGCACCGACUUGUUCAGGCGCAUUGCAGAGAAACUAGCGAGCCAUGACCGGUUUUUCCAGCAAAGGAGGAAUGCCGCCGGAGAGCUCGGGCAUAGCACCUUUCUGAAGGUGACAGCCGCUUUGCGUAUGUUGGCAUACGGUAUCCCGGCUGAUCUAGUUGAUGGUCACUUGGCUAUGGGUGAGAGCCAAGCCAUCAUGUGUGUCAAGGGCUUUGCAGUGGGAAUUGUGCAAGUGUUUAGCGAGGAGUAUUUGAGAUCUCCCACUGCCGAAGACGCCGCAAGGCUAUUGGCGAUGAACAAAUCUCGCGGCUUCCCUGACAUGCUUGGCUCAAUAGAUUGCAUGCAUUGGAGUUGGAAGAAUUGUCCAAAGGCAUGGCUUGGGCAAUUCCACGGCAAAAAAAAGGGUUUCACUAUAAUCCUUGAAGCGGUGGCCGAUCAGGAGACUUGGAUUUGGCAUGCAUUCUUUGGAAUGUCUGGAUCUUUGAAUGACAUCAAUGUUGUCAACCGGCCACCACUGAUGAAUAAGAUUGCAAAUGGCGAGUUGCCACCGGUGCAGUUUGUAGCAAAUGGCCGUACGUACAACUAUGGCUAUUAUCUAGCGGAUGUCAUCUAUCCAAAGUGGCAAACCUUCGUGAAGCCGUUGAAAAAGCCGGAAGGUAAGUAA